AUGGGAGGAAUACACUUCCUCACUGUGUUGACAUUGGAAUUAACCAUGUGACUUGCAUUGGCCAAAAGAAUGUGUGUUGAAGUGACGAUGUCUCCAUUUCCCCUUCUUGAGCAGCUGUCACUGGUCGUGAGAACCGUGAGUCCCAGACAGUGGGGGCUGCUUCAGCCUGGAUUCAGAAUGAGAAGAUUCAUGGGGCAUGCACCCCACGGCCUGGAGCCCAGCCUAGGAGAGCUGUGAUGAACCCCAAACUGACUUGCAGACCCCUGGGGAGGAAGACGUGGACUUGCCCAAGUAGUCUCAACCAAAAUGUGGCAGAGAGGAAUUCAGACCUGGGUCUGUCUCAGACUCCUGGAAGUGAUGGGGAGCCACUUGGUCUCCAGGCUAGCAGGUUUGGAGCUCUCCCUGGUCCCCCAGGAACCUGUCCAGCCUCGAACAGAAGGUUCCAGAGAUGUGCUCAAUGACAUGUUGGGGGCAUGGUUUUUCUUUAUCACUUGGGCUUUCUUGGUUCACCUAAUAAACCACCUCAU